ensembl:misc_RNA Metazoa_SRP Metazoan signal recognition particle RNA
GUCGGGCGUGGUGGUGCACGCCUGUAAUCCCAGCUACUAGGUGGCUGAGGCAGGAGAAUCGCUUGAACCCAGGAGGUGGGGGUUGCAGUGAGCUGAGAUCAUGCCACUGCACUCCAGCCUGGGUGACAGAGCCAGACUCUGUCUCAA